rnacentral:rRNA from 1 species
UACAGAGGGUGCGAGCGUUAAUCGGAAUUACUGGGCGUAAAGCGCGCGUAGGCGGCUUUGCAAGUCGAGUGUGAAAUCCCCAGGCUCAACCUGGGAACUGCAUUCGAGACUGCAUAGCUAGAGUAUGGGAGAGGGAAGUUGGAAUUUCAGGUGUAGCGGUGAAAUGCGUAGAUAUCUGAAGGAACAUCAGUGGCGAAAGCGACUUCCUGGACCAAUAUGACGCUCAUGUGCGAAAGCGUGGGGAGCAAACAGG